rnacentral:lncRNA from 1 species
UUUCCAUCAUGUUGAAUACAUACAAACCACUUAUUUGAAUAUUAUUACUAUAAUAAAAAGUUAGUAUAGCUAGAAAUUUUGAAAUGAGAGGUCUAUAGUAAGGGAUUCAAUGUAACGCAGAGGGGUCAAAAUACAAUGGCUAAGUAAAACUUUUGAAAACAUCUUUUCAAGCAAGUACAUACUAACUACUUACUGGGAAAUAAUUACUAUCAUGACUUGUUAAAGAGAUUUUCCAUGGUAAAAAAGGGGGAUGGGGUCAAAAUACAAUGGCAAAGUAAAAUUUUCAAAAUAUCUUUUCCAUCAUGUUAAAUACAUUCAAACUACUUAUUGGAGUAUUUUUACUAUGUUAAGAUGUUAGUUUUACUAGAAUUUUUGAAAUGAGUGGUCUAUAGUCCGGUAGAAGGUGGGGGUUCAAUACACUGCAGUGGGGUCAAAAUACAAUGGCAAAGUAAAAUUUUCAAAACAUCUUUUCCAUCAUGUUAAAUACAAAAUACAUACAAACUACUUAUUUAUAAGUAGAGUAUUAUUAAUAUAAUAAAGAGGGUUUUUUUUCUACUAUAAUAAGGAGUUGGUUUACAGGUAGCUAGAAAUUUUGAAAUGGGAGGUCUAUAGUAAGGGAUUCAAUGUUACACAGAGGGGUCAAAAUACCAUGGCUAAGUAAACUUUUGAAAACAUCUUUUCAAGCAAUUAAAAUACAUACAAACUACUUAUUGGAAUAUAAACACUAUGUUAAAGAGUUGUAACAGCUAGAUUUUUUGAAAUCCAAGGUCUAUAGUAGGGGG